CCUACGGGUGGCUGCAGUGAGGAAUAUUGGUCAAUGGGCGGAAGCCUGAACCAGCCAAGUAGCGUGCAGGAUGACGGCCCUACGGGUUGUAAACUGCUUUUAUACGGGAAUAACGCGCCUUACGUGUAGGGCUUUGCAUGUACCGUAUGAAUAAGGACCGGCUAAUUCCGUGCCAGCAGCCGCGGUAAUACGGAGGGUCCGGGCGUUAUCCGGAUUUAUUGGGUUUAAAGGGUGCGUAGGCCGGCUGUUAAGCCUGCUGUGAAAUGUCCGGGCUCAACCCGGGCCUUGCAGCGCGAACUGGCGGGCUUGAGUGCGCGGAAAGCAGGCGGAAUGCGUGGUGUAGCGGUGAAAUGCUUAGAUAUGGCGAAGAACCCCGAUUGCGAAGGCAGCUUGCUGCAGCGGAACUGACGCUGAGGCUCGAAAGCGCGGGGAUCGAACAGGAUUAGAUACCCUUGUAGUC
rnacentral:rRNA from 1 species